rnacentral:tRNA from 1 species
GGGCCUGUAGUAUAGUGGUAAUACGUGUCCAUGGCAUGGAUAAGUUGGGGGUUCGAUUCCCCCCAGGUCCA